rnacentral:rRNA from 1 species
UACAUGGGGUGCAAACGUUGCUCGGAAUUACUGGGCGUAAAGGGCUCGUAGGCGGCCAACUAAGUCAGACGUGAAAUCCCUCGGCUUAACCGGGGAACUGCAUCUGAUACUGGAUGGCUUGAGUUCGGGAGAGGGAUGCGGAAUUCCAGGUGUAGAGGUGAAAUUCGUAGAUAUUAGGAAGAACACCGGUGGCGAAGGCGGCCCACUGGUCCGGUACUGACGCUGAGGUGCGAAAGCGUGGGGAGCAAACAGG